GACGGAGGGUGCGAGCGUUAAUCGGAAUUACUGGGCGUAAAGCGCAUGCAGGUGGUUCGCUAAGUCAGAUGUGAAAGCCCGGGGCUCAACCUCGGAACUGCAUUUGAAACUGGCGGACUAGAGUACUGUAGAGGGGGGUAGAAUUUCAGGUGUAGCGGUGAAAUGCGUAGAGAUCUGAAGGAAUACCGGUGGCGAAGGCGGCCCCCUGGACAAAGACUGACGCUCAGAUGCGAAAGCGUGGGGAGCAAACAGG
rnacentral:rRNA from 1 species